AGGACGAACGCUGGCGGCGUGCUUAACACAUGCAAGUCGAGCGGAAAGGCCUUUCGGGGUACUCGAGCGGCGAACGGGUGAGUAACACGUGAGUAAUCUGCCCAUCGCUUCAGGAUAGCCAUCGGAAACGGUGAUUAAUACUGGAUAUGACAUUCCUUCGCAUGUUGGGGUGUGGAAAGUUUUUUCGGCGGUGGAUGUGCUCGCGGCCUAUCAGCUUGUUGGUGGGGUAAUGGCCUACCAAGGCUUCGACGGGUAGCCGGCCUGAGAGGGUGACCGGCCACACUGGGACUGAGACACGGCCCAGACUCCUACGGGAGCAGCAGUGGGGAAUAUUGGACAAUGGGCGGAAGCCUGAUCCAGCAACGCCGCGUGA
rnacentral:rRNA from 1 species